rnacentral:tRNA from 1 species
GUUUCUAUAGUUGAAUAA